GACAAGAGGCAGGUGAGACCAGCAUCUCUCUGCUCCCCCUGCCAUCUCUGUUGUCUUCCUUCUGGUGUGUGGUCCCCUGUUCUGUGUCCCAUGGUCGGUCGUCUUCCUGCACACAUACAUUCAAAAGGACUGCUUAGUCCCCCUCUGCCC